AUGUUGUCUUUGUCAAAAUCUUAAAUGUUUCAAAAAGUAUUCUUUAUUUAAAUAUAGUUCUUUGUAAUUUUUAGCCAAACACAGUUCAGCAUUAAGGUUCAUUUUAUAUUCUUCCUAAUAUACUUCUGUUGCUUGUUCCAUAAGUAAUGGUAUUUUUUUUUUAUCCAAGAGUAUGUUGAUUUUUUAUUAUUAUCAAAUACUGUGUAUUCUCAUAUUGCAAACAAAUGAAAGAAAGCUAUUGAAUGGUUAGUGUUGUGAAAAUGUAUUUUAAUUGAAGUUUAAUAUGUUCAUUAAAUUAAUGAUAUAAUGCUGUU